CCCAAGUGAAAUAACCCACUCUGAGGCUCUCUAUGGCUGCUGACCUCUCUCGUGGUGGUGUGAACAUCUCACAGCUAUUCUCAGGCAGUUACGAGCAGUUUUUUCAAACCGUUGUUUGUGGAUUUCGGAGGAAUCUGAAAUGUGCCGUGACAGGUGUUUUGCAAGUAAUCAAUGAGAGAUAGUGAACUGCGACAGCUUGUCUUGUUAUUUCAAUGUUUCCACUACAGGCAGCUACCAAUGAAGCUCAUCUCCAGUCCAGAGAAAACAAAGCCACGCCACAUUCCCAGAGUUAAAUUUGCUGUUACGUCGGAAGUCUGAGAAUUGGAGUUUGGGCUCUGUCUGGAGGAGCUGGGUGGCUGGUAAUCUACACUGGUGGGGGCCUCAGCCCAACCUGGAAAUUGCUGGU
rnacentral:lncRNA from 1 species